AGUUGCUGUAGCAACCGGCGGGGGAAGUGGGACAGGCUGGCUUUGAGGACGCGCGAGGUCGGCCGCGGGCGGCUGGAGCCGGCGCGGGCCUCUGUGCGCCGCGAGAGGGAGGCCGCCUGCAGCCCGGCUGCUCGGCCGCCGCGGGCCCGGCUCCGGGGGUUCAGUUUUAAUGAAGAAUCCCUGCUCCCUUCUCGCGCCCCUCCCGCUUUCUGCCCACCUCCCUGGGGUCUGGAAGGAGAGGGUCGCCCCUCCCCGCUUUGGCUGCUAAACUCUCUGGCUCUCCCCCCGGCCGCUGCCUGGGUUCUGGUGGCUUCCUUCCUCCUCCUUGUCUGUCGGAGCUCAAGGGACAAGCCCUUUCCCUGGCGCGUGCCUGGUGAAACCCUCGCACCCUUCCCCACCCCCACAAGCCUUUGGCAUGGCCUGGGAGACUCCGGGCAUCUUCAACCCAGCCAGGGACAAGGGUCCGCGGAGGGUCUGGAGCCCCUCGUGGGCCUGGUGCCCACGGAGUGCCCACCCCUGCCCUCCAGGAGCCCCUGGGAAGGCAGCACUCUGUUCAAGGAGGAAGCCAGACCCAGCUACAAGGGAGGGACCCUCGGCUGAUGCAAAGAGGCCGGAGCCCGCAUCCCAGCACCGCCCCCGCCGGCUGUCUGCUGGUUCCUUCUCCAAGGCCUUCAGAGAGGAUCCCUGAAGCUUGGCAGGGACAGACACAGGUUCUGGAGUGGGCUGGGCCUGAGUUCAAAUCCCACACUCCAGUGGGACCCUCAUCCACCGCUGAUAGGAAUGAGAAGUGGUUCGACUACUUUUGGAAAACAUUUGGCACUUUUAAAAAAGUUGAACAUACUCUUACCACGGAUCUGACCAUGGCACUCCGAGGCUUUUAUCUCCAAGAAAUGAAAUCUCCACCGGCGCAGUGGCUCAUGCCUGUAAUCCCAGCACUUUGGGAGGCUGAGGCGGGCGGAUCUCUUGAACCCAGGGGUCCAAGACCAGUCUAGGCAACAUAGUGAGACCCUGUCUUUACAAAAUAUUUAAAGACUGGACGGGCGCGGUGGCUCAUGCCUGUAAUCCCAGCACUUUGGGAAGCCGAGACGGGCGGAUCACGAGGUCAGGAAAUCGAGACCAUCCUGGCUAACACGGUGAAACCCCGUCUCUACUAAAAAUACAAAAAAUUAGCUGGGCAUGGUGGUGGGUGCCUGUAGUCCCAGCUACUCUGGAGGCUGAGGCAGGAGAAUGGCCUGAACCCGGGAGGUGGAGCUUGCAGUGAACAGAGAUCAUGCCACCGCACUCCAACCUGGGCGACAGAGCGAGAGUCUAAAAAAAAAAAACAUAUAUGUAUAUAUAUAUGCCGGGUGUGGUGGCUCACGGCUGUAACCUCAGCACUUUGGGAAGCCAAGGCAGGUGAAUCACCUGAGGUCAGGAGUUCAAGACCAGCCUGGCCAACACGGUGAAACCCCAUCUCUACAAAAAAUACAAAAAUUAGCCAGGCAUGGUGGUGCAUGCCUGUAAUCCCAGCUACUUGGGAGGCAGAGACAGGAGAAUCGCUUGAAUCUGGGAGGCGGAGGUUGCAGUGAACCGAGAUCAUGCCACUGCACUCCAGCCUGGGCAGCAAGGGCGAAACUCCGUCUCAAUUAAAAAAAAAAAAAAAAAGAAUUAGCCAGGCAUGGUGGUGCACACCUGUAGUCCCAGCUACUCAGGAGGCCGAGGUGAGAGGAUCGCUUGAGCCAGGGAGGUUGAGGCCGCAGUGAGCCAAAAUUACGCCACUGUACUCCAGCCUGGGCGACAGAGCGAGACCAUGUCUCAAAAAAAAAAAAGAAAGAAAAGAAAAGAAAAGAAAAGAAAGAAAAAGAAAACAAUGAAACUCACCUCCACACAGAGCCUUGCACAUGAGUGUUCACAGCAGCUUUAUUUGUAAAAGGCGGAAACUGGAGACAGCACAGUGUUGCUCCGUCCCGCAGGCAAAGGGAGCAACAGGUUGUGGCACAUCCGUCCCAUGGAAGGCGACUCACCAACAGGAACGACCGUGCACACAGCACCACAGCACCAUGACCAGGAGAGGAGCCGGAACAACCGUGCACACAGCACCACAGCACCAUGACUGGGAGAGGAGCCGGCAGCCACCAGCAAGGCAUGGGGGAUUGUGUCGGUGUGAAGUCCCGGAAGAUGCGUGCGAGUCGACAGGGUCUCACUGUCGCCCAUGCUGGAGUGCAGUAGCGCAGUCAUAGCUCACUGUGACACCUUCAUCUCCUGGCUUCAGGUCUCAGCCUCCCAAGUAGCUGGGAUCAUAGACACAUG
rnacentral:lncRNA from 1 species